rnacentral:rRNA from 1 species
CCUACGGGAGGCAGCAGUGGGGAAUAUUGGACAAUGGGGGCAACCCUGAUCCAGCCAUGCCGCGUGUGUGAAGAAGGCCCUCGGGUUGUAAAGCACUUUCAGUGAGGAAGAACGCCUGGUGGUUAAUACCCAUCAGGAAAGACAUCACUCACAGAAGAAGCACCGGCUAACUCCGUGCCAGCAGCCGCGGUAAUACGGAGGGUGCGAGCGUUAAUCGGAAUUACUGGGCGUAAAGCGCGCGUAGGUGGCUUGAUAAGCCGGUUGUGAAAGCCCCGGGCUCAACCUGGGAACGGCAUCCGGAACUGUCAAGCUAGAGUGCAGGAGAGGAAGGUAGAAUUCCCGGUGGAGCGGUGAAAUGCGUAGAGAUCGGGAGGAAUACCAGUGGCGAAGGCGGCCUUCUGGACUGACACUGACACUGAGGUGCGAAAGCGUGGGUAGCAAACAGGAUUAGAUACCCCUGUAGUC